AUAACUAAAAUACAAUCUUCUUAAAAAAUAAGAGAAACACACACAGAGAAAGAAAAAGAAGAAGAAGAUUAAGAACAAUACAAGAAUGUUAAUGGUGUCGGUAUUGGCAGAUAUGUUGAAGGAGUACACGGUUGUGCUCGCCGGAGUUUUGGAGCAUCUCUUCUCUCAGGCGCCUUUCCCGAGGAGAAUCCGACUUCAUAUUUUAUACUCUCUUCCUUUCCAUAGUUCCGAUUCCUCUCUCCCUCUUCUCCUUCCUUCUCCUCCUCCUUACUCUCGACCUUCUUGAUGUUUUUUUUGUGUGCUUCACUUACGUUUGUACAUUUUCUUUGAGUUGAGAUGUGAAAAUCCAGAGCUUUUGAUGUAAUUAAGUCCUCUUGUAGGUGAGGCGGCGUUUCAGUUCCGGCAAUAUGUGUUGCCAAUCUAUUUCUUCAAUCUUUGGUUUUCAUCCUCUCUCGACUGGAAGAUGUUUUUCCCAGAGUCCCUAUCAUUUGCCUUAAUGGCAAAAUGGAUGGGUCUUGAUUCAAAGGUGAACGGCGGUGGUGAUUUAUGAAGAAGCAAGUUUUUCAAUCACAAUUAUUCAUCGGAUCUACAAAGAGGAAUUAAAAUUGGCGGAGGAACAACGAUUUUGGUGGUGGAUAGGAUUCCGAUUGGAGUUUAUCAUGGUUUAAGCUCUUCGGAUUUCAGUUUUCCGACGAAGCUCUGAACAUCAACGUUAUCAACGGCAUCUCCUUACCGUCAACUGAUAUUUUCUCCUAAGACUUCUACGUGUGUUAAAAUUAUCAAUCUUUAUUUCUUAUGAUUUGGAUUAUAAUUGGGCUUAUGAUUUGUAAGUUUUGGGCUCCCAAAAUGCUGUAACUUGCUCAUUUAUGGGUUUUCGUUAUAAACGAAUA